UUAGUUGCAGAUGUCUUUUUAUUAUUCAACAGUUGAUUGAGGAUUUUCCAAGGUUGACUUUAUAUUAGUUAAGGAUUCUGGGAAGUUGUUUGUAAAAUAUAUUUUGGGGGAUAUCCAGUAGGUGAGUAAAUUUGUUAGGGGUGAGGAAUUUGUGAGGAACUUUUUAUAGUUUAGGUUUCCAGAAUCCUUUUGCAGUUAUCUUACAUGGUUUAACUAAGGGAAAGCAGUGGUGAAAUACAGAGGUGAAAGACGUGAGAAAAGUCUGGUAAGCAGACUCCACAUCGGCCUGGUUAUAAACAUUUUCCCAUGAAAUAUCAUCAAUCAUUAUCUUAAAGUGCUCACAAUUACUUCUGUUAAAUAUUCUACAUUUAAUGAUAUUAAUCAUUCCCAUCUGUUCAUUUCCAGCUGCCAAAGAGACAAUUGGAAAGUGGUCAGAAAUGUCAGUAUAAAGUAUACCUGUAUGAGCCACAUUAUUCAAAACAUUAUCAAUAAGGGUGUCCGAUGAACUGGUCACUCUGUGGGCUUAUAGAUGAGGGGACACAGAUAGUUGGAGUAUAAAGUAUUCAGUCUGUGGUCUUAUAGAGGAGGGGAUACAGAUAGAUGGAGUAUAAAGUAUUCAGUCUGUGGGCUUAUAGAUGAGGGGAUACAGAUAGUUGGAGUAUAAAGUAUUCAGUCUGUGGUCUUAUAGAGGAGGGGACACAGAUAGAUGGAGUAUAAAGUAUUCAGUCUGUGGGCUUAUAGAUGAGGGGAUACAGAUAGUUGGAGUAUAAAGUAUUCAGUCUGUGGUCUUAUAGAGGAGGGGACACAGAUAGAUGGAGUAUAAAGUAUUCAGUCUGUGGGCUUAUAGAUGAGGGGAUACAGAUAGAUCUGUGGGGUUAUAGAUGAGGGGACACAGAUAGAUGGAGUAUAAAGUAUUCAGUCUGUGGGCUUAUAGAUGAGGGGAUACAGAUAGAUCUGUGUUCUUAUAGAUGAGGGGACACAGGUAGAUGGAGUUUAAAGUAUUCAGUCUGUGGGCUUAUAGAUGAGGGGAUACAGAUAGAUGGAGUAUAAAGGCUUCAGUCUGUGGGCUUAUAGAUGAGGGGAUACAGAUGGAUGGAGUAUAAAAUAUUCAGUAUGUGGGCUUAUAGAUGAGGGGAUACAGAUGGAGUAUAAAGUAUUCAGUCUGUGGUCUUAUAGAUGAGGGGAUACAGAUAGAUGGAGUAUAAAGGCUUCAGUCUGUGGGCUUAUAGAUGAGGGGAUACAGAUGGAUGGAGUAUAAAAUAUUCAGUAUGUGGGCUUAUAGAUGAGGGGAUACAGAUGGAUGGAGUAUAAAGUAUUCAGUCUGUGGUCUUAUAGAUGAGGGGAUACAGAUAGAUGGAGUAUAAAUUAUUCCGUCUGUGGGCUUAUAGAUGAGGGGAUACAGAUAGGUCUGUGUUCUUAUAGAUGAGGGGACACAGGUAGAUGGAGUUUAAAGUAUUCAGUCUGUGGGCUUAUAGAUGAGGGGAUACAGAUGGAGUAUAAAGUAUUCAGUCUGUGGGCUUAUAGAUGAGGGGAUACAGAUAGAUGGAGUUUAAAGUAUUCAGUCUGUGGGCUUAUAGAUGAAGGGACACCGAUAGAUGGAGUAUAAAGUAUUCAGUCUGUGGGAUUAUAGAUGAGGGGAGACAGAUAGAUGGAGUAUAAAGUAUUCAGUCCGUGGGCUUAUAGAUGAGGGGAUACAGAUAGAUGGAGUAUAAAGUAUUCAGUCUGUGGGCUUAUAGAUGAGGGGACACAGAUAGAUGGAGUAUAAAGUAUUCAGUCUGUGGGCUUAUAGAUGAGGGGAUACAGAUGGAGAAUAAAGUAUUCAGUCUAUGGACUUAUAGAUGGAGUAUAAAGUAUUCAGUCUGUGGGCUUAUAGAUGAGGGGAUACAGAUAGAUGGAGUAUAAAGGCUUCAGUGUGUGGUCUUAUAGAUGAGGGGAUUCAGAUAGAUGGAGUAUAAAGUAUUCAGUCUGUGGGAUUAUAGAUGAAGGGACACAGAUAGAUGGAGUAUAAAGUAUUCAGUCUGUGGGCUUAUAGAUGAGGGGAUACAGAUAGAUGGAGUAUAAAGUAUUCAGUCUGUGGGCUUAUAGAUGAAUCGACACAGAUAGAUGGAGUAUAAAGUAUUCAGUCUGUGUGCUUAUUGAUGAGGGGAUACAGAUAGAUAUGUGGGCUUAUAGAUGAGGGGACACAGAUAGAUGGAGUAUAAAGUAUUCAAUCUGUGGGCUUAUAGAUGGGGGGAUACAGAUAGAUGGAGUUUGAAGUAUUCAGUCUGUGGGCUUAAAGAUGAGGGGAUACAGAUGGAGUAUGAAGCAUUCAGUCUGUGGGCUUAUAGAUGAAGGGACACCGAUAGAUGGAGUAUAAAGGCUUCAGUCUGUGGGCUUAUAGAUGAGGGGAUACAGAUGGAUGGAGUAUAAAAUAUUCAGUAUGUGGGCUUAUAGAUGAGGGGAUACAGAUGGAUGGAGUAUAAAUUAUUCAGUCUGUGGGCUUAUAGAUGAGGGGAUACAGAUAGAUCUGUGUUCUUAUAGAUGAG
ensembl:lncRNA